rnacentral:rRNA from 1 species
GAAUUGUUCGCAAUGGGCGCAAGCCUGACGACGCAACGCCGCGUGGAGGAUGAAGGUCUUCGGAUUGUAAACUCCUGUUGCCCGGGACGAAUGGCUCCGACCUAACACGUCGGCGAUUGACGGUACCGGGUGAGGAAGCCCCGGCUAACCCUGUGCCAGCAGCCGCGGUAAUACAGAGGGGGCAAGCGUUGUUCGGAAUUACUGGGCGUAAAGGGCGCGUAGGCGGCCUGCUAAGUCGAACGUGAAAUCCCCGAGCUCAACUCGGGAACUGCGCCCGAUACUGGCAGGCUUGAAUCCGGGAGAGGGAUGUGGAAUUCCAGGUGUAGCGGUGAAAUGCGUAGAUAUCUGGAGGAACACCGGUGGCGAAGGCGACAUCCUGGACCGGCAUUGACGCUGAGGCGCGAAAGCCAGGGGAGCAAACGGG